ACCUUUUGGUUCGGAACAACUGAGGGAAACUUCAGCUAAUACCGGAUAAGCCCUUACGGGGAAAGAUUUAUCGCCGAAAGAUCGGCCCGCGUCUGAUUAGCUAGUUGGUGAGGUAAUGGCUCACCAAGGCGACGAUCAGUAGCUGGUCUGAGAGGAUGAUCAGCCACAUUGGGACUGAGACACGGCCCAAACUCCUACGGGAGGCAGCAGUGGGGAAUAUUGGACAAUGGGCGCAAGCCUGAUCCAGCCAUGCCGCGUGAGUGAUGAAGGCCCUAGGGUUGUAAAGCUCUUUUGUGCGGGAAGAUAAUGACGGUACCGCAAGAAUAAGCCCCGGCUAACUUCGUGCCAGCAGCCGCGGUAAUACGAAGGGGGCUAGCGUUGCUCGGAAUCACUGGGCGUAAAGGGUGCGUAGGCGGGUCUUUAAGUCAGGGGUGAAAUCCUGGAGCUCAACUCCAGAACUGCCUUUGAUACUGAAGAUCUUGAGUUCGGGAGAGGUGAGUGGAACUGCGAGUGUAGAGGUGAAAUUCGUAGAUAUUCGCAAGAACACCAGUGGCGAAGGCGGCUCACUGGCCCGAUACUGACGCUGAGGCACGAAAGCGUGGGGAGCAAACAG
rnacentral:rRNA from 1 species